CCUACGGGCGGCAGCAGUGGGGAAUUUUGCGCAAUGCUCGUAAGAGUGACGCAGCGACGCCGCGUGAAUGACGAAGGCCUUCGGGUCGUAACGUUCUUUCGACAGGGAAGAAAAUGCCUAUAAGUAACUGUGUUUGUAUUUACGGUACCUGUAUAAGCAGCCCCGGCUAACUCCGUGCCAGCAGCCGCGGUAAUACGGAGGGGGCUAGCGUUGUUCGGAGUGACUGGGCGUAAAGAGAACGUAGGCGGUGUUGUAAGUCAUUAGUCAAAGACUAGAGCUCAACUUUAGUAAGGCUAGUGAUACUAUAAUACUAGAGUAUCAGAGAGGAGUGCAGAAUUCCUGGUGUAGCGGUGAAAUGCGUAGAUAUCAGGAGGAAUACCGUUAGCGAAGGCGGCAAUCUGGCUGGAAACUGACGCUGAGGUGCGAAAGCGUGGGUAGCAAACAGGAUUAGAUACCCCAGUAGUC
rnacentral:rRNA from 1 species